UUUUAUUUUACGUGUACCUUACUCUGUUGUUGAAGCUUUAGUAUGGUCUUGUGUUGUAUACUACACAAUUGGUUUUGCCCCUUCUCCUGGGAGAUUUUUUCGCUUCAUGUUUGUAAAAUUUGUAGUACACCAAAUGGCAAUUGGUCUAUUCCGAAUGCUUGCUGCUAUUGCUCGAGAUAUAGUCAUUGCAAAUACCUUCGGGUCAGCUGCAAUUUUAAUUGUACUUUUAUUGGGUGGAUUUCUUGUACCUAAAGACGAAAUUAAGUCAUGGUGGACUUGGGCUUCUUGGCUGUCACCAUUGCAGUAUGCACAAAGAGCAGUUUUUGUUAAUG